UGGUCUUGACAUCCCAUUGAAUAUCCGGUAAUGCGGACAGGCCUUCGGGACAAUGGAGACAGGUGGUGCAUGGUUGUCGUCAGCUCGUGUCGUGAGAUGUUGGGUUAAGUCCCGCAACGAGCGCAACCCUUAUUGACAGUAGCCAGCAGGUAAAGCUGGGCACUCUGUUGAGACUGCCGGGGAUAACCCGGAGGAAGGUGGGGAUGACGUCAAAUCAUCAUGCCCCUUAUGACCAGGGCUACACACGUGCUACAAUGGCGUAAACAGAGGGAAGCAAGAUGGUGACAUGGAGCGAAUCCCAAAAAUAACGUCCCAGUUCGGACUGCAGUCUGCAACUCGACUGCACGAAGCUGGAAUCGCUAGUAAUCGCGGAUCAGAAUGCCGCGGUGAAUACGUUCCCGGGUC
rnacentral:rRNA from 1 species